GUGGAUUAGAUACCCUGGUAGUCCAUGCCGUAAACGAUGUCUACUAGCCGUUGGGGGAUUUGAUCCUUUAGUGGCGCAGCUAACGCGAUAAGUAGACCGCCUGGGGAGUACGGUCGCAAGACUAAAACUCAAAUGAAUUGACGGGGGCCCGCACAAGCGGUGGAGCAUGUGGUUUAAUUCGAUGCAACGCGAAGAACCUUACCUGGCCUUGACAUAGUAGAAACUUUCCAGAGAUGGAUUGGUGCCUUCGGGAAUCUACAUACAGGUGCUGCAUGUCUGUCGCCAGCU
rnacentral:rRNA from 1 species